AACGCACAUUGCGCCCCUUGGUAUUCCGAGGGGCAUGCCUAUUCGAGCGUCAUUAUCACCCCUCAAGCCUAGCUUGGUGUUGAGGCCUGCUGUUAAGGCAGCCUCUAAAAUCAGUGGCAGUGCUGUCAGGCUCUAAGCGUAGUAAAUUCAUCGCUAUAGGGUCCUGGUGGAUACUCGCCAAAACCCCCCCAUUUUUUAAUGAUUGACCUCGGAUUAGGUAGGGAUACCCGCUGAACUUAA
rnacentral:misc_RNA from 1 species